GCACCGGUAGUCUAGUGAUAGAAUAGUACCCUGGCACGAUACAGGUCCGAGUUCAAUUCCCGGCUGGUGCC
rfam:Nicotiana attenuata strain TT chromosome 12, whole genome shotgun sequence.